rnacentral:rRNA from 1 species
UACGGAGGGUGCAAGCGUUAUCCGGAUUCACUGGGCUUAAAGGGUGCGUAGGUGGUCAGGUAAGUCAGUGGUGAAAUCUCCGGGCUUAACUCGGAAACUGCCAUUGAUACUAUCUGUCUUGAAUACCGUGGAGGUUAGCGGAAUAUGUCAUGUAGCGGUGAAAUGCUUAGAUAUGGCAUAGAACACCAAGUGCGAAGGCAGCUGGCUACAGGAAUAUUGACACUGAUGCGCGAAAGCGUGGGGAUCAAACAGG